rnacentral:rRNA from 1 species
GUCCCAAGGGUAUGGCUGUUCGCCAUUUAAAGUGGUACGCGAGCUGGGUUUAGAACGUCGUGAGACAGUUCGGUCCCUAUCUGCCGUGGGCGCUGGAGAACUGAGGGGGGCUGCUCCUAGUACGAGAGGACCGGAGUGGACGCAUCACUGGUGUUCGGGUUGUCAUGCCAAUGGCACUGCCCGGUAGCUAAAUGCGGAAGAGAUAAGUGCUGAAAGCAUCUAAGCACGAAACUUGCCCCGAGAUGAGUUCUCCCUGAGACUUAGAGUCUCCUGAAGGAACGUUGAAGACGACGACGUUGAUAGGCCGGGUGUGUAAGCGCAGCGAUGCGUUGAGCUAACCGGUACUAAUGAACCGUGAGGCUUAACCUU